AGUCAUGUAAGAUGGAAGCUAAGGAGUAAGAGGACAGAUGCGUGGAUAGGUUGUAGUGUGGAAGGAAGGGGAUUAUAGUAGGCUUAAUUCGGUGGAUAGCUGCGAGCCGUUGACGUUUUGUAAGCUGAGCAAAGACAUGGUCAGGGCUGUGCUUUAAUUGGAAAUCACAUGUCUCUGGUUCAUGAAAAGGCAGAAAGGAAAUCAGCUGAGAUAACAGAUACUGUAGACCCGCACCAGGUUACUGUUACUGGAAAAGAAAGGAUGGAAGAAACAUCUCAGACAGGCUGGGCAGGAAAUGAUGACUAAUCAGGAAUAGAAAUGGGAUGAGGGGGAGGGAAAACCCAAGACUGGAUUUUUCUCUGAAUGAUUCAUGAGUUAGAAAUGUAUUCUAUUGGUUUUCCCAUGAUUUUGCUGAUUCCCCUGUGUUGUGGAAUUGCAAGCUUUUCAUCACAAGAAUAUUCUAAAUAUUUUUCAGACCUAGGUUACAUAUCUAACACCUGUGGAUAGAGGGUGUGGACAGAUCAGCUGGCACAAGUUGAUUACAACUUCUGGCAGACAAGCUCCUUGGAAGUCAUUAAAGCCUCAGUUUCAGUUUCCUUAUCUAUAAAACAUAGAAUCAUACCUUAGUCAUUAGGUGAAAUAAAAAAUGAUAAUAAGCUACUCUGGGCACACUGUCUAUCGAGUAGUCCUGCUCCACAAGGAGCAGUACUUGUAAAAAGAAUUUUUUUAAAAAGGUGAUAAUAAAAUUAGCCUAUGAAAAGUGUUUUGCAAAUAUAGCAAAAUGUUGAUUUUGAAUCUAGGUAGUGGGUAUAUAUGGGUAUAGGGACCAUGGGAAAAAUGUUCCCUUUGCCCUCUGAAGUUUGCUGAAAAAUCAACUCACAAAAGGCAGAUUAAUGGGAGAAAAGGCAUAUGCAUUUAUUAACAUGUACAUGGGGAGAAUCACAGAGUGAUUACACACCCCCAACGGGGUUCAGAAGCUUGUCUACCAUCCUGGCCAACAGACUUGGGGAGAGGGGAGCAGAGGCAUUCUGUUGAGGAGAUGACUAGGGAAAGUGAAUGGAUCAGGGCACAGGGAUGAACUUGCACAUUAUCUUGUGAAAGGGUCUGUUCAGGUGGUUACAUUUUUGGUCUUACAAGGAGGGGAAGAAAAAACAAUUGUUCCUUUUGGUGGGUUCGGAUUGUAGCCAGAUAAAGGAACUUCAACUUCAUCCUGUGCUUUGGGAGAGAUGGUGCUGGGCAGUGAGGUCAGAGAGACCUUGAGGCUUCCAUUCAGCCGGUCAAAGCCCCAUAUUUUGGGCUAUCAGUUUCUGAGUCCCGACACAAGUGUUCACUUACAAUUAUUUUUCCCCCAUAUAUUUGGAGAUUUUCAUAAUAAAAUGUUGGGGAAAAGUGCUUUGAAAAAUGAAAAAAUAACUGUUCAAAUAUAAACUGUCACUAUUUAAAGAGAUUCAAAGAGCAUGCUAUCCUGAAAGUGCAUCAUAUUAUUUAUUUUUUUUUUAUUUAUUUAUUUGAGAUGGAGUCUGUCGCUCUGUUGCCCAGGCUGGAGUACAGUGGCGUCAUCUUGGCUCCCUGCAACCUCCGCCUCCCGGGUUCCAGCCAUUCUCCUGCCUCAGCCUCUGGAGUAGCUCUGACUACAGGCGCACACCACCACGCCUGGCUAAUUUUUGUAUUUUUUAGUAGAGACAAGGUUUCAUCAUAUUGUCCAGGCUGGUCUCAAACUCCUGACCUCAGGUGAUCCCCUCGCCUCAGUCUCCCAAAGUGCUGGGAUUACAGGCAUGAGCCACCACGCUCGGCCUGAAUCAUAUUUUUUAUAAUAUAUUAAACACUAAGCAAUCAGAAAGAUAGAAAUUAAAACUUAUUCCCUUGAAAAUUUAUUCAGUAAACAUUUGUUGAAUACACAUUAUGUGCCAGGCUCUAUAUUAGAGCAUACAAAAAUAAAUUGAACAAAAUCUAUUGACAGUUUAGGGGGUAAGACAUUGUAUAAACAAAAAUACUUGUAAUUAUCUGCUAAUAAGUACAGAAUCACUUAUGGACAAAGUAUUGUGGGACCAGAGAAGAGGAAAUGUUACUGGAAAGGGGUCCCAAUCCAGACCCCAAAAGAGGGUUCUUGAAUAUUACACAAGAAAGAAUUCAGGACGAGCUCAUAAAGUGAAACCAAAUUUAUUAGAGAAGUAAAGAAAUAAAAGAAUGGUUACUCCAUAGGCAGAGCAGCACUGAGGGCUGCUUAUGGCUUUUUCUUUUUCUUUUUUUUUUUUUUAAUUGAGAUGAAGUCUCGCUCUGUCACCCAGGCUGGAGUGCAACGGCACGAUCUCGGCUCACUGCAACCUCCACCUCCCAGGUUCAAGUGAUUCUCCUGCUGAGCCCACAGAGUAGCUGGGAUUACAGAUGCGUGCCACCUCACCCAGUUACAUCUUCCUGAGGAUAGAGCCUACAUAGAAGUUCAGCAAAUAUCUGGUCUUUUCCACACCUGGGAAGAUGUGGGUAUAGGCCACUAUGUGUUUUCCUUUCAAAAUGGCAAGAAUUUCUGACAUGACAUGGGAAAAGCUGAAGAAGUCAGUCUUUGGGGUGUGUUUUCAUCUAGGAGGUGGCUUGAGAUGGAUUCAUGGCAAAUCACAAUAAAUUAUUUAUCAGAUAA
rnacentral:lncRNA from 1 species